GACGAACGCUGGCGGCGUGCUUAACACAUGCAAGUCGAACGGUGAACCUGCUCCGGUGGGGGGUCAGUGGCGGACGGGUGAGUGACACGCGGGCAACCUGCCCUCAGCUUUGGGAUAACUAACAGAAAUUGGGGCUAAUAAUGGAUAUGACUGCUCUCCGCAUGGUCUGGUGGUGGGAAGAUUAAUCGGUUGGGGCUGGGCCUGCGGCCUCUCCGCUUGUUGGUGGGGUAGUGGCCUACGGAGGCGACGACGGGGAGCGGGCCUGGGGAGGUGACGGGCCAGACUGGGACCGAGACACGGCCCAGGCUCCUAGGGGGGGCAGUAGUGGGGAAGAUGCAGGAAUGGGGGAAAGCCUGACGCAGCGACGCCGCGUGGUGGGGGACGGCCUUCGGUUUGGAUACCUCUUUCGACAGGGACGAAGCGAAAGUGACGGUAGCGGCUAAGGAAGCGCCGGCCAACUACGUG
rnacentral:rRNA from 1 species